rnacentral:rRNA from 1 species
UAGGGAAUCUUCGGCAAUGGACGAAAGUCUGACCGAGCAACGCCGCGUGAGUGAAGAAGGUUUUCGGAUCGUAAAACUCUGUUGUUAGAGAAGAACAAGGACGUUAGUAACUGAACGUCCCCUGACGGUCUCUAACCAGAAAGCCACGGCUAACUACGUGCCAGCAGCCGCGGUAAUACGUAGGUGGCAAGCGUUGUCCGGAUUUAUUGGGCGUAAAGCGAGCGCAGGCGGUUUCUUAAGUCUGAUGUGAAAGCCCCCGGCUCAACCGGGGAGGGUCAUUGGAAACUGGGGGACUUGAGUGCAGGAGAGGAGAGUGGAAUUCCAUGUGUAGCGGUGAAAUGCGUAGAUAUAUGGAGGAAAACCAGUGGCGAAGGAGGCUCUCUGGUCUGUAACAGACGCUGAGGCUCGAAAGCGUGGGGAGCGAACAGG